rnacentral:rRNA from 1 species
GCUUACGGACAUACCACCUUAGGCACGCCGAUCUCGUCUGAUCUCGGAAGCUAAGCAGGGUCGGGCCUGGUUAGUACUUGGAUGGUGACCGCCUGGAAUACCAGGUGCUGUAAGCA